rnacentral:hammerhead_ribozyme from 1 species
CCACUGCUGAGUAGUCCCACAAUAGAACGAAAUGGCCGUCCAGUGC